AUGUGCACCCUAGCACCAACUUAACUUAAAAUUAGGGUUUGGGAAGGACUACAUCUGUCUGGCAACGUAGCAUUUAGUACAGUACCAUAUGUAUAUACAGCUAAGUCCAACCAAUGGGAAUAUAGAGAAAGCAAAUCACCAAUUUAUACAAAGCAUUACUUUUCAACCAACUCAUCGACAUAGAUGCGUUCUUCCCUCUAUAUAUCUCUGCUCAACCUUCAUCUACAGUUGCCAUUCAACUCAUUCUCGCAUCUCUAUCGUCCCACCUUUUUUAUUUUCUCCUUUAGUUGUCUGCUCUAAGAUUAGAUCUCAGGUGUUUAUUACAUAUAUGUUUAAUAUAUUGUCCUUAUAUGUGUGUUCCUUCAGAUUCUAUCUGAUCUAUUCCAAACAUGUGUGGAUAUAUCUAUCUUUGUUUCUUUUGCAGCACUUCUCGUUCCUAUAAUAAGGAUCUUUCAAGGUAGGUCUUCACUGUUUGGUUUGCUUAUUGUCUUGAGUUUUUUUCUUUUUCUUUAAAUAUCUUCCUUCUGGGUAGAGGCUUUUUCUUGAUUAGCUUGAAUGGAAAAGCAUAUAUGUUUUUUGAUCUCUAGAUUUUGAAGGAUGGUUAACUGGCUUUGAUUCUCGCUUCUUUCAGCUUUCUUCAAUCUUUUGGAUGUUCUAAAAGUAUGUUUUUUUAUAUUUUUCAUAUAGAGAAGUUGAACACAUGUAUGUUUGAUUCAUCUUAAAUUAGGUUAGUUUCUGAGUUUUGUAGGGAAACUCUCGUGAAAGACUUAAAUAAGAUGUGAAUGUUUCCGACUUGAAAAAAAUUGUUUUCCAUGACAAUAUAUACUUGUGUUAAAUCAAGAGAUAGAGAUGUUGAAUUUAAUUUCUUUUUCUUUUCUUCAAUGGGAUUUGGCUUUUUUUUUUUUUUUUUUUUUUGGAGUAUGAUUUGAAUUGAGUUCAUAUGAGUAGAUUCCUUUCAACGAACCCUCGUGUGCCAAAGGUUUAUUAGCCACUGACAGUAGGCCACAUCAGCUGCUCCUCGUGGCCUUGCUCCCAAAAUUGCACAUAAGCAAAAAUAAUCUCAAUUUUCACUGUCCCUUUUUUCUUUUCUAUUUUUUCCCCCACACUCUUGCUUUCUCUUUUUUUCAUGUUGUUCCUUCUUUUUUUAUUUUCUCAUUGGACAAUUUUCCAUCAGAUUGGUUUUCACUCUCACAAAGCUAUUAGACUUUUUUAGCAUUCAUAGUAUGUGUUCAGAUUUUCAUUUUAAUUCGAUGUUGAUCCAUGUUGCAUUCAACACUGCAGAAUCUUACUUUUUUUUAUUUGAAAUAUGUGAAAUCACGUUUUCGUUUCGACGAGAUAUACUUUUGAUUUAGUUUUAGUAGGUACAGUUUGAUGGGAAGAUUGGCAGUCGUUGUUUGCUGAUGUAGCACCAUCAAGAUUCACAUGCAAAUGCAAGUGGAUAUAGAUGGGAAUGGGAUUCUGAUGCAUUUAAUUAUGCAUGUGAUGUAAGUGCCCAGUAAAUCCAUUAAUCUUUUGAAGUGAGAAUCUUGAUGAUGCUGCAUUGGCCAUAAACGACUUUAAAAAUUAGAGUGCAGAUGCUGUCCAUGGUGCAUAUUUAUUACACAUGACAGGUGACUUUUUCUACUCUCUAUUUGUUGUUGCCAGGUCGGUUUCAUCUUCAUUUUGUUGUUGUUGCCAGGUCGGUUUCAUCUUCAUUUUGUUUUCAAUUUAGUUAGUAGUAUAUAUGGAUGAUCUUCUUGUACUUGUUUCUUUCAAAUACUAUUUUUACUAAUAAGCACGUUUACAUUUGCAGACAAUCCUAGGUUAUUGAACUUAGGCUAUUUGGGGGCUGAGUGAGGGUUAAGCCCUUUAUUUGCUGACUUCAUAUAUAUUAUCACAUAGAUCAUGAAUAUUCCUUUUUAACAGAAAUGCUGGCCUAGAAAUGGUGUCUUCUCAGUUUCUUAAUAUAUAGAUAGAUAGUAUCACUUUAUCCAAUUGAACAUUUUUUGUUUUUACUCAUUCCACUUUCACCUUUAGAGAUAAGAAUAGAAGUGAGAGAUAUCAUAGCAUAGGUUAUGUCAUAAGAAAAUAAUAUUGUGUUAAGAGAAAGUGAGUGAAAAUUCGGUGAUUUUUUUUUUCAUAAGCAACUCAUGUUGGCUUCUUCCCAUGAUCAUGAGAGAAGUGGUUUUAGGAGAAGCCACGAACAGCAUGUUACUUAUAGUAGUUUCUCAUAAAAUCACUUAUUCACUUAUCUCCCAAAUGUGAAAAUUUGUCAUGUCUCCAAACACAAAUUAGGAGUAGUUUUUGUGGAAGAAGAAAGAAUAUAGCUAUAUAAGAGGUUUAGGCCUGGAUCCUUAACACGUGUUGAGUGAAAAGAUUUGUGAAUACCUUGUGAUUCUGAUUCUUGAAGCUAGUCAGAUAGUUUUCUCGGUAAGGGGGAUCUGUGUUCCCGUGUCCUCAAGCUUUGUUCUUGUAGUUAGUACAUUUAAUCAUAUCAUAUGCAGGAAAUAUAUUUUAAGUAAGGACAUUCUUCCAACUGGUAAUUAAUUUGCAUCUGAAGAUCACAGAAGAUGGAAGCUGGCUUGGGAAUUGGAUUUGUAAAAUUAUGGACAUUAAUUACAUCAGUUUCAUUUCUUGGCUUUAGCCUGCACUGAAUCACUUGUCAACUUUCAUCUGGUUGGUCUUGCAAGAGAGACCAUUCACGAUGGACGAGGGAUCUUCUAGCAUGAUGGUGAGAUGUUAACACGACAUGGGGAGGUAACCUGCAAAUUAAAGGCAUUUUGCAAGUUAGUACUUAUGAGAGUAUGUGAGAAGCUCAAAGUCAAAGAAGAGCGAUGGAAUAGCAAAAUGAGUAAUAUAUGCUUAUGUAAAUAAACAAUCAAACUUGUACUUAUAGGUGUAGUAAGAGUCAUAUUUGAGGCUUUGAACCUUAAUUAUGUCUUUAUGUUAGGCUUCCGAGAUGAUGAUUGUCUUUAGGCAACUAUAUAUGCAAUAGUAAUAUGAACAUGUCAGCUUAAAUUU